rnacentral:rRNA from 1 species
GGGAGGUAGUGACAAUAAUAACAAUACAGGGCCCUUACGGGUCUUGUAAUUGGAAUGAGUACAAUUUAAAUCUCUUAACGAGGAACAAUUGGAGGGCAAGUCUGGUGCCAGCAGCCGCGGUAAUUCCAGCUCCAAUAGCGUAUAUUAAAGUUGUUGCAGUUAAAAAGCUCGUAGUUGAAUUUUGGGUCUGGCCGGGCGGUCCGCCCUCUGGGCGAGCACUGUUCCGACGCCGGGCCUAUCCUUCUGGUGAGUCGGCAUGUCCUUUGUUGGGUGUGUCGGGGAACCAGGACCAUUACCUUGAAAAAAUUAGAGUGUUCAAAGCAGGCGUUAUAUGCUCGAACACAUUAGCAUGGAAUAAUGGAAUAGGACGAUGGUUCUAUUUUGUUGGUUCUAGGACCGUUGUAAUGAUUAAUAGGGAUAGUUGGG